GACGGGGGAGGCAAGCGUUAUCCGGAAUCACUGGGCGUAAAGCGUCCGUAGGCGGUGAUGCAAGUCACUGGUGCAAAACUCUGGCUCAACCGGAGGAAAGCCAGUGAAACUGCAUGACUAGAGUGUGGGAGAGGUAGAAGGAAUUCCCUGAGUAGCGGUGAAAUGCGUAGAUACAGGCAAGAACACCGGAGGCGAAAGCGCUCUACUGGAACACAACUGACACUGAGAGACGAAAGCUAGGGGAGCGAAUGGG
rnacentral:rRNA from 1 species